rnacentral:rRNA from 1 species
UACGUAGGGUGCAAGCGUUAAUCGGAAUUACUGGGCGUAAAGCGUGCGCAGGCGGUUGUGCAAGACAGAUGUGAAAUCCCCGGGCUCAACCUGGGAAUUGCAUUUGUGACUGCACGGCUAGAGUGUGUCAGAGGGGGGGUAGAAUUCCACGUGUAGCAGUGAAAUGCGUAGAGAUGUGGAGGAAUACCGAUGGCGAAGGCAGCCCCCCUGGGAUAACACUGACGCUCAUGCACGAAAGCGUGGGGGAG